UUCCCGGGCCUUGUACACACCGCCCGUCACACCACGAAAGUCGGCAACACCCGAAGCCGGUGGCCUAACCCGCAAGGGAGGGAGCCGUCGAAGGUGGGGUCGAUGAUUGGGUG
rnacentral:rRNA from 1 species